AUGGUUUCUGCAACCCUAGCCUUCAAUGUUGAUAUUUUUUGCAAUUCACUCCUUCGCGUAUCUCCACUAGCACAACGUGGUCGCAGCCAACAUCACCGGGGUGUCAUCGAUCUCUUCAUGUCGCCAUGGAUGAAAGUGAAGAACGAGCCUGACUGCAAAGUGACGCCUCGCGCGUCGUCGCUUGGGAAGAAGAGGAAGGUGGGGGAGAACCGUGCGGACGGCGAGAGCUCGGCGUCAGACCCCUCUUGCCUGUCGGGCUUCUCCGGCCCCUGGUUGUCGCCGCCCGCGACAAGCAAAGAUGGUGACUGGAAGGCAGCGAGGCGGCUGCUGCAGGGCACCGUCACGCCGUCGCGGGAGCGCGAGCUCGCCGCGUCCAAGCCGGCCAACGUUGUCGCCUCAAGCUACGUGUCACUGCUCCAGACGGCGAACGAGGUGACCUUCUCGCUUACGCUCUGGAGUUGGAGGACAAGUACUAGCCAAAUGCUUGUUUGCUGUUGGCUCCUUGACAUUUUGAUGCCUCUGCUCCUCGAGUUCUAUGUCCGAUGA
rnacentral:rRNA from 1 species